UUCCUUCUUGUUAACCUUUUCAUCUUUUUUAUUUAUUGUUGCUAUGUCCCUAAAAUUUUAGUGCUUUAUUAUGGUGUGGUGAGUCUUUCUUCUCCUCUCUUUUUUUCUUUCACACAACUCAUUCAACAGAAAUUGAUGAGAGUGUAUCGCCUCCUUUUCUUGCAAUUGUGCGAGACAGUGAUUCCGAUUAACGAGUAGGCAAAGGAACGAUUUAGAUUUGUUCAAUUUCGCGGUGACUCUAUGGCCGACUCCAUUUCCAGCAACAGUGCUUUCCCAGGAUUUGAUAUUCACACUCUAUAUCAUCUCCUCAAUCAACUCAUGCAAUUACAAUCACAAUUGAAAUCGCAACAGUAUGUGGAUAUUUAGAACGAUUUGAGGCAUCGUUAGUAUCGAGGUGACAUCUUUAAGAUUGCAGAACUGGAAGAACAAUUGUUCUCUUUGAAGCAGGGAGAUUCAAGCAUCAUUGAUUACUUUACAAACUUGAAGGCUAUUUGGGAAGAAAUUAAAAAUUUUAAGUCUAUUCCCUUUUGUGUAGCAUGUGAAUCCACGUGUAUUUGUAGGUUGGAAAAGCUUCGAAUUCAGAAAAAGGAGACCUAUAUUGUUCGAUUCCUUAGGAGACUUAAUGAGCAAUAUCACAAUGUUCGUU